CGGACGGGUGAGUAACGCGUGGGUAACCUGCCUUAUACAGGGGGAUAACAGUUGGAAACGGCUGCUAAUACCGCAUAAGCGCACGGCAUCGCAUGAUGCAGUGUGAAAAACUCCGGUGGUAUAAGAUGGACCCGCGUUGGAUUAGCUAGUUGGUGAGGUAACGGCCCACCAAGGCGACGAUCCAUAGCCGACCUGAGAGGGUGACCGGCCACAUUGGGACUGAGACACGGCCCAA
rnacentral:rRNA from 1 species